AGGACCGGAGUGGACGCAUCACUGGUGUUCGGGUUGUCAUGCCAAUGGCACUGCCCGGUAGCUAAAUGCGGAAGAGAUAAGUGCUGAAAGCAUCUAAGCACGAAACUUGCCCCGAGAUGAGUUCUCCCUGACUCCUUGAGAGUCCUGAAGGAACGUUGAAGACGACGACGUUGAUAGGCCGGGUGUGUAAGCGCAGCGAUGCGUUGAGCUAACCGGUACUAAUGAACCGUGAGGCUUAACCUUACAACACCGAAGGUGUUU
rnacentral:rRNA from 1 species